rnacentral:rRNA from 1 species
AUCGAACGCUGGCGGCAGGCUUAAUACAUGCAAGUCGAGCGAGCGGAGGACGGGUGAAUAAUGUCUGGGAAACUGCCUGAUGGAGGGGGAUAACUACUGGAAACGGUAGCUAAUACCGCAUACCAUCAGAUGUGCCCAGAUGGGAUUAGCUAGUAGGUGGGGUAAUGGCUAACCUAGGCGAAGAUCCCGAGCUGGGCUGCGAGGAUGACCAGCCACACUGGAACUGAGACACGGUCCAGACUCCUACGGGAGGCAGCAGUGGGGAAUAUUGCACAAUGGGCGAAAGCCGGAUGCAGCCAUGCCGCGUGUGUGAAGAAGGCUUUCGGGUUGUAAAGCACUUUCAGCGAGGAGGCGUUACUCGCAGAAGAAGCACCGGCUAACUCCGUGCCAGCAGCCGCGGUAAUAC